UGCGAAUGCUCUCAGCCUUGUCGCAGAAGAAAUUGUUUUUGUUUUUCCUAUAGCAGAAAACAGAAGCCAAAGAAGAAAGACGAAGGCGAGGGACGACCGUGCAAUAACGGUGUUCUCUCCGGACGGGCAUUUGGUUCCAGGUGGAGUACGUACGCCUGCGAAGCUGUCCGCAAAGAUCGGUUAGGAAGAUCGUGUCAUUGGACGGUCACGUUGCGCUGGCCUGUGCUCUGAAAUUGGACUGAAAGCAGAUGCUCGUGUCUCGAUAAACAGAGCACGCAUUGAGUGUGAAAACCAUAGGCUAACGGUUGUGGAUUCUGUAACUGUUGAAUAUGUAACACGUUAUAUAGCGAGCCUGCAGCAGAAGUAUACGCAAAGUGGUGAUGCAAUUAUAAACAGAACUUUGAUUGCAGUUUUUGACCCCUACACUGGCAUCCCAUCUCUAGAUUUCUCGGGAGCAUUUCAACCAUGGAGAGCCAAUGUGACGGGGAGAAACUAGAAUUGGAUGAGGGAGUUUCUAGAGCAGAAUUAUAAACAGAACUUCUGUACAUAAAACCGUGAAGUUGUACAGAAUUUCUUGUGGAUUUGUUUGUUAAGUUUCCAUCUUGUGGAUGUGUUUGUGUCUGUCUAUAUGCGUGCAUCCGUUAGUGAAUCAUGGACUUUUUCUUUGGGUGUGUAUUAGGAUCACUUGAAAAGAAACUGUUUUAAUGGUUGAUGGAUAAUGUCACAUCAAUCAAAUAUGAUAUUAGAUGAGAAUAUAAUAUAUAACAUUUUUUUUUCCA